GAGCUGGCGGAGGCUUACACGAUGCAGUCGAUUCGGGCCCUUCGGGGUCAGCGGCGGACGGGUGAGUAACGCGUGGGAACGUGCCUUCUGGUUCGGAAUAACUCAGGAAACUUGAGCUAAUACCGGAUACGCCCUUUUGGGGAAAGGUUUACUGCCGGAAGAUCGGCCCGCGUCUGAUUAGCUAGUUGGUGGGGUAACGGCCCACCAAGGCGACGAUCAGUAGCUGGUCUGAGAGGAUGAUCAGCCACACUGGGACUGAGACACGGCCCAGACUCCUACGGGAGGCAGCAGUGGGGAAUAUUGGACAAUGGGCGCAAGCCUGAUCCAGCCAUGCCGCGUGAGUGAUGAAGGCCUUAGGGUUGUAAAGCUCUUUUAUCCGGGACGAUAAUGACGGUACCGGAGGAAUAAGCCCCGGCUAACUUCGUGCCAGCAGCCGCGGUAAUACGAAGGGGGCUAGCGUUGCUCGGAAUCACUGGGCGUAAAGGGCGCGUAGGCGGGUUUUAAGUUGGGGGUGAAAGCCUGUGGUCAACCAAGGAAAUUGCCUUCGAUACUGGGACGCUUGAGUGUGGUAGAGGUUGGUGGAACUGAGUGUAGAGGUGAAAUUCGUAGAUUAUUCGGCAA
rnacentral:rRNA from 1 species